UACGUAGGGUGCGAGCGUUGUCCGGAAUUAUUGGGCGUAAAGAGCUCGUAGGCGGCUUGUCGCGUCGGAUGUGAAAGCCCGGGGCUUAACUCCGGGUCUGCAUUCGAUACGGGCAGGCUAGAGUUCGGUAGGGGAGAUCGGAAUUCCUGGUGUAGCGGUGAAAUGCGCAGAUAUCAGGAGGAACACCGGUGGCGAAGGCGGAUCUCUGGGCCGAUACUGACGCUCAGGCACGAAAGCGUGGGGAGCAAACAGG
rnacentral:rRNA from 1 species